rnacentral:rRNA from 1 species
GAUGAACGCUGGCGGCGUGCCUAAUACAUGCAAGUCGAACGCUGAAGGCAGGAGCUUGCUCUUUCCGGAUGAGUUGCGAACGGGUGAGUAACGCGUAGGUAACCUGCCUGGUAGCGGGGAUAACUAUUGGAAACGAUAGCUAAUCCCGCAUAACAGUAGAUGUUGCAUGAUAUCUACUUAAAAGGUGCAAUUGCACCACUACAAGAGGGACCUGCGUUGUAUUAGCUAGUUGGUGAGGUAACGGCUCACCAAGGCGACGAUACAUAGCCGACGUGAGAGGGUGAUAGCCCGCACUGGAACGGGGACGCGCCCCAUAGGCCUGAGGGAGGCAGCAGUAGGCAAUCGGCGGCAAUGGACGGGAGUAUGACCGAGCGAGGCGGAGUGAGUGAAGAAGGUGUUCGGAUCGGAAAGCUCGGUUGUAAGAGAUGAACGGGUGUGGGAGUGGAAAGUGCGCACUGGAACGGUAUCUUACAAGAAAGGGAGGCCUACCUACGU